rnacentral:rRNA from 2 species
AACCGUCGACAGUCAGGUAACGAGCGAGACCCACGCGAGCAGUUGCCAGCUUGACCUUCGGGUUGAUGGGGACACUGCUCGGACCGCCUCUGCUAAAGGGGAGGAAGGAAUGGGCAACGGUAGGUCAGCAUGCCCCGAAUUAUCCGGGCUACACGCGGGCUACAAUGGACAGGACAAUGGGUUUCGACACCGAGAGGUGAGGAUAAUCUCCUAAACCUGUCCGAAGUUCGGAUUGCGGGUUGUAACUCACCCGCAUGAAGCUGGAAUCCGUAGUAAUCGCGUUUCAACAUAGCGCGGUGAAUAUGUCCCUGCUCCUUGCACGAAUUCGCCG